GAACGCUGGCGGCGUGCCUAACACAUGCAAGUCGGAUGUGCCGCAAGGUGCAUGGCAGACGGGUGAGUAACGCGUGGGGAAUCUACCUUUUGUGGGGAAUAACGUUCCGAAAGGAAUGGUAAUACCGCAUGUGAUCAUCGGCUGGGAUGCUGAUGAUGAAAGCUGGGGACCGCAAGGCCUGGCGCAAGAAGAGGAUCCUGCGUCUGAUUAGCUAGUUGGCGGGUAAUGGCCCACCAAGGCGACGAUCAGUAGCCGGCCUGAGAGGGUGAUUGGCCACACUGGAACUGAGACACGGUCCAGACUCCUACGGGAGGCAGCAGUGGGGAAUUUUGCGCAAUGGACGAAAGUCUGACGCAGCAACGCCGCGUGGGUGAUGAAGGUCUUCGGAUCGUAAAACCCUGUCGUCAGGGACGAAGGUAAUGUGCCUAAUAUGCAUGUUGCUUGACGGUACCUGGAGAGGAAGCCCCGGCUAACUCUGUG
rnacentral:rRNA from 1 species